rnacentral:sRNA from 1 species
UAGUCGUCUCCGCGGGCCUUCAGCAGCGU